AUGCAAGUUUGCAAUUUGGAGGCCAGCAUAAUAAAAAUAAAUUUUUCGACUACGCCUGUGUUUUAGCUGAAUUUUUGAGGAGUUUGGAAGAGAGCCCCACUACAAUGAUCUACAUGGUGGCUGUGAUUAGUCGGUUCACGAAAAGCUACGUUGAUGAGCUACUUUACGCACACGACUGCAUGAAAGGCACCCGAGCUUCUUUCGCCUCUGUUUCUCCUGAGAGAUUAGUAGGCCAGCGAGAACAGGAACAGAAACUCUAAUGUGAUAAUAAGUGGAGUUACCUGUGCUGGAGAGCGCCCAGGUGAGAGUCAGAGAAAGGAUCAGCUUCAUCA